UGUCAUGUGACCAGAUGCUUCCUGACUGU
rnacentral:piRNA from 1 species